GAGAGAGAGAGGCCGUCCACGUAGCUAUAGGUUUUGUUAUGCUAUGAUUUCUCUCUCUCUCCCUCGCUCGCCCGCUCACUCUGAACCCCCUUCUACCCCCACCUCCUUCUCUCUCUCACUCAUUCUCCAUCUCUCUCUCUCACACACACACACACUCUCUCUCUCCAAACACUCUCUCUCUCCUCCUCUGCCUCUCUCUCUCCCUGUCUGUCUGUCUCUCCCUCCCUCGGCUUCACUCGCUCUUGUGCUGUAAGUUCAUUUGCUGUGUCAAGCAACAACUGGCUCGGGAGUGGGCAUUGGGUUUUGAUCCUUUUGUCAAGCGUCCCCUCUGCGAUGUGUACCGCAUCCACCUGCACACCACGGGACUGGCCGCCUGGCUCUCUCUAACGUUGCCGUACCGUCCUGGGUUUAUCACGAUUGGGCAUCCCACCUUGCUGAAACGGGUGGUACAAUGAGAUGCUGAAGGUUUGACGGGGUGAACCUGCUACUGUGGACUAUCACCAUCAUCAUCAGAAUCAUCACAGUGGCAAUGGGAGUCAGGACAUGGACACUCGCUGGAGGACCUCCGCAGGGUCCAUGCAUCCCAGAAUUGUUCAUGCCGUUGAUUUCAAACCGUUACUUGGCUAUCCUUGGAUUCUCAAACAGCCCAGCAAGAGCUCAUGCCUCCCUCCUAAAGACUUUAAGGCUUCCAGCUGUCAUUACUUUCUCUAAAACCAAGCAAUGGACCGUUGUGAGCUAAGCCAGCACUAACUGGUAUUUUCGGACGGGGGAAGCUCUGAGUAGCCGCUGAACGAGGGUAAACCUUUCCAAAAACACAGAGGAUGUUCUUAUUUUGUUUUGAAUCCUAAAUCUAUUGUUUGAUCUAAUUAUUCUGCCUCUAAGGCCCUUUUAUCCCGGCACUGCUGAUGAAACCGAAGCGAAAGAGGAGGCAGAGUGUGUCUCCUGCUUGUUUGAGACAGGACAUCCAUAGCACAGUGAAAGAGAGAGAGAUAAAGAGUGAGCGAUAGAAAGAGAGAGAAUAAAAGAGUACUAAGUGAUUCAGUCACAUACAGCCCAGGCAUUAUCUAGCAAACAAUAAAAGAUUACAUCAUAUCAGCUGGCAUAAUUUCUUCAAGGUCUUUUAUUGAUUCUUUGAAUGGUGUGGUGAAAGUGUACAAAAGAAAGCCAAUUGCAUUUACGGGAUCACAUUUUAUGAAAUGAUUUGACGAUUCAGCUUUCAUUCGGAGGAUGAUCACAACUUUCAUGUGGCUUUGUAACAGGUACACAACACUCCAUUUAUGUUUAAUUCCUCUUUGCAUGCAAGAUGAGCCAGCACAUUUCUAAACUGAGAGCAAAAAAUUUGACAAAACAAACUAGUGAGAAAUUAUAUUACAAUUUAUUGUUAUACUCUCAUCUGUCGCUGUUACAAAUUCAAAGUAAAACAAGUAUUUUAAUUUUACAAAACUAUCUGUUAAAUAAAUAUCGGCUUUGUCCCAAAUGGCAACUACGUAAUCCACAUUUUGGUAGCAUAAUGCCAAAUAAACAAUUGGGUAGUGUGACCAUUUGUGCCAGGAUUUUUAUAUUGCCUAAUAUAUCCAGGCUUUGGCUUUGUUUUCAUGUUUUCAUACUUGCUGAAGGUAAUGAUCGAAAAGUAGUUUGACCAAUAACAUGCUGGUAUUGUACAUAAUCGACCAAUCAUUGUGCGUGAGAAGGUGGGAUCUACAGAGAAUGGUCAAAGCGAUGCAAAUACGCUGCGCAGGCCAAUCAGUGUUAUGAGAUCAAAGCUCCAUGAGAGAGAGCAGACGACUCCUUAUACUUUCGAAUCGCUCCUGCUGUACUAUGAUGUCAUAGCACCGAGCAGUCUGUGCAGCGCAAACAAAGCCAAAACCUGGAUAUUUCAGGCAAUAUAGAAAUCCUGGCCAGGAUGUGUCUGGGAAAAAGGAGACGUAUGGUCACCCUACUAUUGGGUACUAGUAAUCCGCUGUGAAGUCUAAAAUCAAGGGUGCAGUGGUGCAAGGAGGGUGCUGUUGAGCAGUCUUCUUAUGUAGUAAUAUGGCAAAAACGACAGCUUAAAGUGUGGUCACAUUAACAAAAUUUCGACAAAAUUUAGCAGGCAAAAAAGUCUACUGUCCAUUGUCAAUAAUGUAGCCAUGCAUGACACACAGCUCACACAGAAGUCACUAAUUGCAAUUACUGUCAAUGCCACUAGAGGCCUAAAACUUAUGUAUCAAGUUAAACCCAUCAAAGUCAUUGACCAGUAAGAACAAUGUGGGCGGAGCUACUGAGGAGUUUAUUGAUCCAUUCGGGGGUUUCUGAGUGACUUAGGACAAGGGGUCUCGCACUCUGGACUGCACAAAUCUAGGUAAUUGUGAUUGGAUCAAACCAGGGGUCAAUGACUGAUUGCUCUUCUGAAGAGCACCAUCUGUUCUCUGCCAGUUGUCGACAGAUCACUUUGAUAACGUUUAAUUAUGCAUAGGGUCAAUGGACCAAUUAGAUUACUGCUCAAUUACUCCAGAAAAUGGAAUUGAUAAGAGAGGACAAAAACAUUAAUGAUUUUGCGAGAUUGUUGCUAUGUGUGGAGAGAUUUAUUACCCUGCGAGGAUGUAAAUUUGUAUGGGUUGGAUUUGUCCUCAGGGCACGACAAAUUCAUGCAAAAUACACCAGCAACUGGGGAUUAAUCUUUCAUAACAAACAGAAAAAUGGUUACAUAUUUUUGAACGCACUUGAAUAUAAAUGUUGGAGAUGAAUAAACAUGAUAUAUGUAAGAAAAACAAGAAUGUUGUAGUCAAAUCUAAUGCUUGAGAACUGAUUGUGAUGAAUACUGUACAUGGAAAAUAUUUAAUGCCCACAUAAACCCUAACUGAAGUUGAAUUUAUGAAUUUAUUUAAGUCUUUUACAACUAUUAUGAAGUACUUUAUUUUCCAAGGUUGCAUUCCAGUCGUUUCAAAUAACACAAAAACAGAGAAAGUGGAAAGAGCAUGCACGCACACACACACAAAUCCUUUGUGCAUUCCAAGGACUACUUGUGUUGUUUCGUUGCAUUCAGGAUGGAUAAAAACAUGGAGGGGAUGCUGCCCUGGUGGGACAGGAAGUAGAGACGCAGAGGGGAGCAACUUCACCUGCUUAUCACCUUCAGUCUGACCAAUGGAACUGGCCUCUGAUUGGACGUGUCUGAUAGCCCAUCCAAUUGAUGGGAAUGGGAGAGAGAGAAAGGAAGAGGAACCUGAUGACAGUUCCCUGCAGAGAUGAAACUCCUCAGAAGCGCUCAGAGAGAAGAUGACACUUCAUACCACAUCAUUUGAUAGGAUUCAGAGAGGGUUAUGGAUCCUGUCACACAGCCAAAUGAAGUCGAGGGGAAAACCGAGUCCCUGGGCUCUUCUCUGCUCCAACACCAGCCUGUAAAUAUCAUGCAUUAUUGAUGGGAUAAAAUUUUCACCCUUGUUAGUUUUAAAGCUGACAAUAUGCCAGGCAAAUUAAAUUUGUGAUUUUUGAUGCCAUAUACAGCGAAAACAUCUUCUAGAUCAAAAUGUAUGCCAUAAUGAAUAUAACAAAAAUCACAAAUGAGAUCUCGUUAAUAUCUCAGUUGAUCUCCUAGAAAUCAGGGCCAUUAAAAAGAGAGCAAAUGGAGAUUUUUAGUGAAAUAUCCAUCGUUUCAGUUUUUUUUCCUUAGAAAAGGCCCUAUAGUAAUCUCACGUCUCCUCUUGAGCUUCAAAUCAGCAAUUACACAAAAAUCUGGAAUCUACACUACAGAAUAUUUUAAUAAUCUGAAGAAACUUUGUGCAAUCGAAGGAACCAUCAAUGGCAAUAAAUAACCUGUUUUUAAGAGUGUAAAGUAAGAUCUCAAUAUGCGCUCUAAUGUUACUUGCCAGAUUCCUUUUUUUGGGGGGUGAAAUGUCAGAGUCAGAGUCGAUAAUUAAGUGAAACAACUACAAACAGCAAAUUUUCCUCCUAAUAAUCUGAAAAUUUAAGUAAUAUGAAAUAUUUAAUCUAAAUGUUAAAACAUUAGUUUAAUAAUCCUUAUAAUAAUAAUUGUGAUAAUAUUAACAAUUACUGCUAUUAGGAUCAUGCAUUAAAUCAUCCACAUAUAAUUUUAUUUUUAGCUUUUAAUUUUUUUAGUCCAAAUUUUCCAACCUGAUAAGAAAGUGUGCUCCUUUCCAAGUAAUAAAGUUAAAUUACAUAUUCAAAAAUGUUAGUGGCUGGGAAUACGCCUGAGAAAUUUUAAAGCGAGAACAAGCGCAUUAAAUCACGGAUUAUUCUUGACGUGUGAAACGGUCAUUGGGGAAUUGGAUUUGACAUGGUCAUACAUGAAGCAAAUCCUAUUUGAAGCUAAUCGUUUUAAACACACUUCCAUGCCAAAAACCUGACAAUGCAGUCUCCCACACACUGUUUGGAAUAAUGUUGUUGAGACAAUAAAGGAUCAUGCAUUACUCAGCUGAUUGUGAAUGCUCUUUCAUUUACUGAAUAAAUGAUGGCAUUUAUCCAGCACCACAGCGAUUCCCUGUCUGUCUGUAUGUGAAAGGAAGACACAUCUAUAUGCACACUCACAGUAAAUGUUGUUGAGGCCCAUUAUGAACCAUCUAGAUUAUCAUAAC
ensembl:lncRNA